CUGUGCUACAUGGGGAGCUAGCGGUGCCCUGUACCUGCAACCCGCUUUAGCAGGGUGGAAUGCUUCCAUUGAGGUAGCAAUUGUGGGAGGUAAUUUCGGUAAGUAAUGUUGAAGAUCAGGCCCUACGCAACAAACUGACGUGAACCGGGUCAGGACUGGAAGGUAGCAGCCCUAAGCGUAUGUGUUUGUGUGCCGUAGGUCAUCUUGGUCGGAGUUGGCUGCCGGAAUGAAACCCGUGAUUGUCUAUCGAAGGGAAGUUGCACAG
rnacentral:SRP_RNA from 1 species